ACAGAUCAAAGGGGUUUCUUCAGCUUAGGCAUUCAUGCAUCCGAAGUAGUAUCUAAGAAAGUGGUAACCCUGAGGAAUUAAGAGUUUAUGGAGAAGACUGGGCGAAGUCCCAGGCCCAGCAGUGCCCUCUGCUACCCACUCUGUGAGCACACACGGUCUGCUGCUGCCAGCCCCUGCAGCCCAACAGGCAGCCCUUGGGCUAAACAAGUGGGGAGGACUUCUCUCAUCAAGGCAGGAUCUCAGCUCUGCUCACCAAAAAGCAAAGCGCAGCUUCUCGCGUGGCAGGGAUUCGUCGCACCAACCAGGGUUAUUAGCAUCACAGGUAAUUCUGUGAUAUUUGGCUGGCAACAAAAGCAGGCCCAAGAAUUUGAAGGUGUUGCUGGAUGCCUCAGUUCAGAGCUCCACACAUGGGAUGCCCCAGUCCCAUACUGCAAUAAGCCCUCCCGGGCUCCGGCACAUUCAAAUGAGAUUUCCUACUUGCAUUUCCUUUAAGCCUAAAGGAGUAAUUCUGAAGAGCAAAACUACCUGGAAGGCACGGAAAAGCCCAGCCCAAGAUCAGCUACCUGUGGGAUUGCAGCUUGUGCAUGGCACAGGACCUCAGAAACACAGAGCAGAAGUUGUAUUUUGCAUUGUGAGCUGGGGGAGCGGUGAGCAGCACUGUGAGGGAUUGGUGAAACAGCACAGAUGCAGAAAAGUUCAGCUAUUACAUUUCUAAGGGAAAAGGCAAAAAAGAAGUCCUGAAGCUAUUUUGCUGUAGGUAUUUCUGGAGCUAAGAUCUGAGUCCAGAUGACAAUUAAAAAUAAGAUGGCAUUUGGAGCAGCUGUGAGAGACCCCCAGCUUCAUUUCCUGUGAGAAGAGGAUCCCACAGCUGCCACAACCCGCAGCCUCAGUUCAAACAAAACCUGUUUGGCUACAGAUUUGCCAUAACCUGAUUCCCAUCUGCCUAUGGAAAACAUCACCACCAACGGAGAAGCGUCCAGAUUCCAGGCAGAAACUGACCCAACAAAUUCAUAUCACAAGCAGUGGGCUAACAGAUCACCUCAUUAAGAACAUUUGGAUAGAGGAGGGGGGUGUAUGAGAAGAGGAGCAUCCUGGAAUGAGGAGAUCUCCUGCCUUUUGGUCCUGGGUAUUUCUUAAGCUAAAAAGAAUCCCUAAAUGUCAUGUACAAACCUUACUUACGCUCCAUAUGGGAACAUGUCCAGGCUUGUAACAAAAUAUUCACUCACAUUAAGCAUUAUAUUGCAUUACUGUAAUUUUUUCUUCUUAACACAAGGAACAGAUCAGCUAAUUUUAGAUGCAUACAUUUCCAGUUUCAGACUUUUAAGAAAGUUUAAACAGACAAUACUGCCUGGGUUAGCAGAUACCUAUGAAUGCUAACAACCAUGACCAUGCAUCUCAGCUCACCAGACACUGAUCCCACCCAGGAAUGCCUGGAGGUUCCCAUGUGCAGCAAAUCACAGUUCAAAUCACAGGGUUUCACUCCUCCAGCAAGCUGCAGGAUAACCCACAGACUCAGUAAAGAGGCAAAGAGUUGUGCCAUGACCACACUUACAUCUAAAAGUAAUCCUGCUUCACUAACCUGGGUUUAUGUGUGACUGGUGAGCACAGUGCUGGGAAGCAACAGCUUCAUUCACCAGGGCUGUUCUGACCACGUAUAUAUACAGCUUUGCAAGAGUAAGACUGCUGUGUUUUACCUCUGUGACAAAGGAAUUUGUAAAUGGGUGGCAACUGUGCACAAGAUCUGGCUCCUUUUGAGCAGAUUUCUGCUGUCCUUUAAUACUUGUGUUCCCCUGGUCACCUACUGUUUGCUAGCUUUGGGGGAUACCACUUCAUUUUCUCACUUGAGAAAUUGCAUUUGAGAAACAUUUAAAAUUUGCCUGCAUUGCUGCUGAAUUCAACCUUCUGCCUGCAACUAAUGGCAAAUCUCCCAGCGAUUGGCUGUGGUGCAGCUACAAGCAGCAUACAUCGCACACCUAUAGAUGGCAUAUGAAGCUCAAAUGACAUCCUGGAUCACACCUGCAAUACCAUCACUUAGCAGCCCAAGGUAGGCAGACUCCACGUUUUCCUCCUGAAAUGGCCCAUAGCCACCUGCAAACACAGCCAGCAAGCAUGACAUUAAGCCUCCGGAUUUACCUUCAAAAUGAAGAAGAAAGCCAUACACGUUUUUUGGUAAGAAGAGUUAAUUUCCAGUCUGAGCAUGUGGGAGUAUGCCCCAAGGGAAGGGAGUAAUGAAGCCCCAGCGUUAGUUGCAAAACAAAUAGAUAAAUCAAUGUUUCAAUUUGCUCCAUGUGAGCAAAUGGGCCACAGUUGCUUAGCAAUUCAGAGAACAUUAUUGCAGGCUCCUCACACACAGUUACAAACACUACCCAACCUGCUGCCUUUUUUACCACCUUAGGAUUAAAAUAAAGCUUACCUUCUGGUGACAGCAGCAGCUCCACGGCCAAAGGAAGAUGUUAUUUUCAUGCUAAGUUUGCUGAAAUCCUUUUCUGCCACAUCACCAGCUCACAGCUGAACAAAGUGGCAAAGACCUUCUUAGAGUAUUUUCAAAUGCAGUUGCAUGAGGUCUAACGUUACUGUUAAAGAAACACCACAUUCCUUUAAGAAAAAGCCCUUCAUCCCAGCCUCACACAGAGACACAAAGCCCACACUCCAGAGCAAAGGACAUCCCAUCCACCAAGCCUCCUCCUCAGAGCCGGGCGCUGAGCAAGGUCAGGGCUUAUAAAAGGAGUCCCACAGCUGGGCUCUGUAUCGGAGCAAUUAUAGCUCUAAACCCAUUCAGGUGUGGAGGUCCCUGCAAAGCUGGAGGUAUCUGCCCUCUCCAAGCAGAAAACACUGCACUAUUUUAUAGAAUCGUAGCAUCAUUGGAGUUGGAAGGGACCCUUAAAGGUCAUCCACUCCAACUCCAAUGGAACCAACGCAAUGAACCAGUGAGUUCCAUGGCUGAGGAGGGCACUGUGCUCACUGGGACAGUCCUAUGCACGUCUCUGCUGCCUCUCGCAGCUCAGCGUUCCCUCCUUCAGUGGCCUUGCAGAGCCCCACAAAGCAACCCCAAAAAUAAAGCCAAAAGGUCACCCUGAAGCCAAAUGUUCAUCCAAACCGAGACAGCCGGAUUUUAGUUACGCACUCCUGUGUUCUUCUGAUCAGAGGAGCCCUUGCUAAACAUCUCUGAAAGCUCUUUUGGCCCCAGGUAAUUCAUUGCAUAAUAUCCUUUCUGGUAAAUUGGUUUUGGGGGUGGGGGACUCCGUGCAGACAAUCUCUGCAUUUUGCUGGCAGGUCUAUAACAAAGAAAGGCUGCAUUAUUUGAGGGUACUCAAAUCUCUCAAUCAAAUCCGAAAUCACAGAACAGCAUUCCCCCUUAACUCAGUUUAAACACUGAACUGUUCCCCAGGUAAUUAAUAAUGUUUGCAAAUAUGCCUCCUUUGAAGGAAUGUUAUCAUAGUUUCAGUGACAAGCUCAGACUCUUUAUUCCUCUUUAUAAUUCCUAACAUCUACUCAGGCAGCAUUAAUUGGAUUCAAAGCAAUUACACGGGAGUCAUGUCGGCCACUUCACAUCACAUCCCGCAGCAUUCCGUUCCGCACUGCCCCGCGUCCCAGCACCGCUUCCCAGCCUCUGCCCCACAGCAGCACCUCUGCACCAGACCCACAGCAACGCUGCACAACGCUCCUUUGGACACUGCAGAACAGAGAAGCCCAGAUCUGGCAAAGGAAUCUAAAAAUACAGGUGGCUGCCUCUGCCGCUGCUGACCCAUUUCUCAGGGCUCAAACGAGGACGCUGCCCGCUUAUUUUGCUGAUGUUUGGACCUGUGCAUGGAGCCAAGCAAAAUAAAGCCAACACGAGGGGCUGAUGGAAGCGUGCCUGGGAAACGUCUGGAGCAGGGACUGCUGAGAAGGAUGCAACACUGGAAGAACACCAGUGUGAUGCUCCAUUCACUUAUUUAAUAAUCAUGAAGAACAUCCAAUAUAUAAUCCAAUAGAAUCCGGGGAUCCUGGCUGCUGCUGAGAACAGGCAGCCAAGCUUUGCCUUAUGAACUGUACUCUAUCUUUGGCUGGUUGAGCAUGCAGGGCUUUUUUUCAGUGAAGAAUUAGCUUUAAAUUGAAUUCUACACUUUGUAAUCAAGACGCGGUGCUUCGUUCAGGUGUACCUGCUCUCUUCUCAUUAAAGACUCUUGAACAAAA